UCUCCUACAUAACAAGGCUGUCACCUAUUCUAUCCUCCUUUGUCCUCUCCCCUCCAUCACUCACCUCCAUGCGUCAACACUGAGCCACUGCAGCAUCCUCCGCCAGCUCCUGAGCCAGUCUGCUUCGAUCGGGUGAGGGGGGACCAGUGCCCUAAACAAACUACGCCAGACAAGGGUUCAAUCCCCCCCAACAUUCCCUCUCCACAGCUGCAGCUCGGCAGAGUUUGAUCAAUAACGCGUCCUUCAUUCUCAAGUCGGGCCUGACCUUGGCAGCCUUUUGUCUCCUUCCAGGGGCCAGAGUGCGCAUGUACAGGUUGGAAAACAAGGCUCUCAAAAAUCCACCCUUGGAAGGAAAAGAAUUCCCCUCACUGCCUGCACACUGGAGCAUUCUCAUUAAGAGCCUAAUGAAUCAUAUAUUUAUAGCGUUCUUAUCUUAGUGUAAUGAGGUGAUGCCACUUUUGAACUCAUUUGCCAAAUUACCACAGGCCACAUUGAAAUGGAAUAAACUUCCAAUUCCUUGCAUAUGCUGCUGCAUUCAUUUUCACAGGACAAUGUCAACGGAAACGGCAGAGCCAAUCCAAACCCGGCUUAUGAACAAAGAGCGUGUGCAGUCACAGAUGACAAAAGAUAACCUCUAGAUCCUGACAGAUGAUAUGGGGGAUGGCAUUAGGGCUCUAUUGUAUGCAAAACCAGGAAGUGAAUUUCCAGCAGGGAUGCUUAUACCGGAGUGCCAUGUUACAAGAGAAUUCCUGAGGCGAGCCAAUGGCCCGAUAAAUCUGCCGGAGCCUCUCUCUCAAUUUGUCUCCGUGGAAUGUCAGCUGGCAAGCACCCAGACACUGAGAACCUCUUUUCACAAUGUGCCAAUCUAACAGACGAGGUCCCAUGUUGGAGCUACAGUACAAGGACUGGCAUGGAUAAAUUGCCACGUGCCUUAUCUAGGUCUCUUUAUGUCUGACUGUCUGAGGUCUUGCUCCUCACACGGCCUCCGAAGGCCACUUCCUCCCAGACCUGGCGGUUAACCUGAACGGCUGAGUGGGUGACAUUGACAAAAUGCAGGUGUCACCAAAGAGGAACCUGUGAUAUGACACAGAAGCUGUGUCAACCCGUCUUACUCCAUAUGACCCACAGUGUGAACAGAAAUUGUCCUGUUUGGUGUCGUUCAUCACUGUGUGGCGCAGUCUCCCACAUAGCUCAGUCCAGGUGGUGGAAUGGCAGAGUGGGAGAACAGACCAUGUUUGUGUGAAGAUGCAACAACUAUCUCUCUCUUUUUCUCUUUUUCUUUCCCUCCCUCCCUCCCUCCCUCUCUAGACUGCUGUAGCACUCUUUGUACUAUAUUUAAAGGUUGUAGGUUAGCAAACAACAAGAUCCCUUCCCACCUGUACCCCUAAAUGAGUCACGAGUCAUGAAUGAAUUCAUCCAUUUAUUUCUGUACAGUAUUUGCAGGAAGAAUAUGUCCAUAUAUACAGAUGGAUAUGAGUGUUCUUCUCCAAUCAAGGUAUCAAGUUUUAAUCACUAAUUAUAUAAAUAAUUUUGCUGAAAUUAAGUUUUAUCAUAAGGUUUUAUUAAUUUUAACUUAAAUGUUAUCGCAUUUGCUUAAAGAGUAGUGGUGCAGUUUUAAAAUGGAAUUUAGUUUGUGUUAUUCAUAAGUCAGUUAUGACUUACAAAAAUGCUUACAGACACAGAUGCAGAUAAUAUUAUCAUCUAGUUACAUUGCAUUAAUUACCAUGUAUAAUACCAUGUAUAACUGUUCACAUUAACAUAUAACUGAAUCACAUUGUGGUAAUCUAGGCAAAUUAAGAUCUUUAUUUUGUAAAACAAACUAUCAAAUGGUGCAAGACAAAAUAAAAAACCCAAAUGAAUACCACCCUA